GAUGAACGCUAGCGGCAGGCUUAAUACAUGCAAGUCGAGGGGCAGCGCGGGGUAGCAAUACUCUGGCGGCGACCGGCAAACGGGUGCGGAACACGUACAGAACCUUCCUUCGAGCGGGGAAUAGCCCAGAGAAAUUUGGAUUAAUACCCCCUAGUAUAGCGGAGUGGCAUCACUCUGUUAUUAAAGAUUUAUCACUUGAAGAUGGCUGUGCGGCUGAUUAGGUAGUUGGCGGGGUAACGGCCCACCAAGCCUGCGAUCAGUAACUGGUGUGAGAGCACGACCAGUCACACGGGCACUGAGACACGGGCCCGACUCCUACGGGAGGCAGCAGUAAGGAAUAUUGGUCAAUGGACGAAAGUCUGAACCAGCCAUGCCGCGUGAAGGAUGAAGGUCCUCUGGAUUGUAAACUUCUUUUAUAUGGGACGAAAAAAGGCUUUUCUAAGUCGUCUGACGGUACCAUUUGAAUAAGCACCGGCUAACUCCGUGCCAGCAGCCGCGGUAACAC
rnacentral:rRNA from 1 species